GCACAUUGCUUGGGGGGAGCUCACCUCACCCACCCUCUGCCAUUCCAGAUGAUAAUCUACCUCACUUUCCCUGUGGCUAUGUUCUGGGUUUCCAAUCAGGCCGAGUGGUUUGAGGACGAUGUCAUACAGCGCAAGGUGGGCAUAAGAGGAGUGUUUGAGGGUUCAUUCCAGGGGUGGGAGAGGGUGUGGGGCAGCAGUCUGCUGGGGACUAAUGUCUGCCUCCCAUAAGCCGACCCUGCCCUGAUGUGGGGCUCUGGAGGCCUUUGGCUCGUGUCCCAUUUGUGACUUUUCCUUACAGAGGGAGCUGUGGCCACCUGAGAAGCUUCAAGAGAUAGAGGAAUUCAAAGAGAGGUUACGGAAGCGGCGGGAGGAGAAGCUCCUUCGCGACGCCCAGCAGAACUCCUGAGGCCUCCAAGUGGGAGUCCUAGCCCCUCCCCUGAUGAAAUAUACAUAUACUCAGUUCCUUGUUAUUCA
rnacentral:lncRNA from 1 species